AGUGAACGCUGGCGGUAGGCCUAACACAUGCAAGUCGAACGGCAGCACAGUAAGAGCUUGCUCUUACGGGUGGCGAGUGGCGGACGGGUGAGGAAUACAUCGGAAUCUACUUUUUCGUGGGGGAUAACGUAGGGAAACUUACGCUAAUACCGCAUACGACCUACGUGUGAAAGCAGGGGAUCUUCGGACCUUGCGCGAUUGAAUGAGCCGAUGUCGGAUUAGCUAGUUGGCGGGGUAAAGGCCCACCAAGGCGACGAUCCGUAGCUGGUCUGAGAGGAUGAUCAGCGACACUGGAAGUGGGACACGGUCCAGACUCCUACGGGAGGCAGCAGUGGGGAAUAUUGGACAAUGGGCGCAAGCCUGAUCCAGCCAUACCGCGUGGGUGAAGAAGGGCUUCGGGUUGUAAAGCCCUUUUGUUGGGAAAGAAAAGCGGCAGGUUAAUACCCCGCUGUUCUGACGGUACCCAAAGAAUAAGCACCGGCUAACUUCGUG
rnacentral:rRNA from 1 species